rnacentral:tRNA from 1 species
GCGCGAGAGUGGCGGAAUGGGUAGACGCACUGGAUUUAGGUUCCAGCGCCGCAAGGCGUGAGGGUUCGAGUCCCUCUUCGUGCA